rnacentral:rRNA from 1 species
UAGAGUUUGAUCCUGGCUCAGAUUGAACGCUGGCGGUAUGCUUAACACAUGCAAGUCGAACGGUAACAGGCCUUCGGGCGCUGACGAGUGGCGGACGGGUGAGUAACGCGUAGGAAUCUACCUAUUAGUGGGGGACAACGUGUGGAAACGCACGCUAAUACCGCAUACGCCCUACGGGAGAAAGGAGGGGAUCUUCGGACCUUUCGCUAAUAGAUGAGCCUGCGUUGGAUUAGCUAGUUGGUGGGGUAAAGGCUCACCAAGGCGACGAUCCAUAGCUGUUCUGAGAGGAAGAUCAGCCACACUGGGACUGAGACACGGCCCAGACUCCUACGGGAGGCAGCAGUGGGGAAUAUUGGACAAUGGGCGCAAGCCUGAUCCAGCAAUACCGCGUGUGUGAAGAAGGCCCUAGGGUUGUAAAGCACUUUCAAUUGGGAGGAAAACCUGCCGGUUAAUACCCGGUAGCUUGACAUUACCUAUAGAAGAAGCACCGGCUAACUCCGUGCCAGCAGCCGCGGUAAUACGGAGGGUGCGAGCGUUAAUCGGAAUUACUGGGCGUAAAGCGUGCGUAGGCGGUUCGUUAAGUCAGAUGUGAAAGCCCCGGGCUUAACCUGGGAACGGCAUUUGAAACUGGCGGACUGGAGUUGAGUAGAGGGGAGUGGAAUUUCAGGUGUAGCGGUGAAAUGCGUAGAUAUCUGAAGGAACACCAGUGGCGAAGGCGACUUACUGGACUCAAACUGACGCUGAGGUACGAAAGCGUGGGUAGCAAACAGGAUUAGAUACCCUGGUAGUCCACGCUGUAAACGAUGUCAACUAGCCGUUGGGUCUCCUUGGAGACAUAGUGGCGCAGCUAACGCAUUAAGUUGACCGCCUGGGGAGUACGGCCGCAAGGUUAAAACUCAAAGGAAUUGACGGA